rnacentral:rRNA from 1 species
GACGAACGCUGGCGGCGUGCCUAAUACAUGCAAGUAGAACGCUGAAGGAGGAGCUUGCUUCUCUGGAUGAGUUGCGAACGGGUGAGUAACGCGUAGGUAACCUGCCUGGUAGCGGGGGAUAACUAUUGGAAACGAUAGCUAAUACCGCAUAAUAGUAGAUGUUGCAUGACAUUUACUUAAAAGGUGCAAUUGCAUCACUACCAGAUGGACCUGCGUUGUAUUAGCUAGUUGGUGGGGUAACGGCUCACCAAGGCGACGAUACAUAGCCGACCUGAGAGGGUGAUCGGCCACACUGGGACUGAGACACGGCCCAGACUCCUACGGGAGGCAGCAGUAGGGAAUCGUCGGCAAGGGACGAAAGUCUGACCGAGCAACGCCGCGUGAGUGAAGAAGGUUUUCGGAUCGUAAAGCUCGGUUGUAAGAGAAGAACGAGUGUGAGAGUGGAAAGUUCACACUGUGACGGUAUCUUACCAGAAAGGGACGGCUAACUACGUG